UUUUUUUUUGAUGUGUAAACUUGCUCAGUGUGACCUGACGCAAACUUUAUUAAUGUUCUUAUUACUAUCUAGCAACAUAUAACAUUAUAUCUGACAACAUUACAAGUUUUGGCAACAUAAGAUUACAUAAAUAUCGAUAACAAUGUGAUUAAGCUCAGGUUAGCCCGCUCGGCCGAGUGGCUGCUGGUCCGGCCACCGAGGAUGCGUUGCCUGUGGAUUGGCUCGAUCAACCGAGUGGCUGCUGGUCCGGCCACCCGGGAUGCGUAUGGGUCUGGAGGAUGUUUUGACUUUUGAUGUGCGGAGAAUUUGGUUUGCUGCAGAUUUGGUUUAUAUUUUGUAGGUUUGGUGGUAAAUUGUCGGCAUUCAAUUGAUUCCCUGGAUGUUGUGUUGGGAUGUCUUCUGGUUGCUUGCUUAGUUGCUGACGUUUUAAAUUUUGUUUUAUUUUCAGGUUUGCUGCAGAUUUGGUUUAUAUUUUAUAGGUUUGGUGGUAAAUUGUCGGCAUUCAAGUUAAGUAAUUUUUGUUUUUAUAUUUGUUGGCUUUUAUUGAAUAUAAUUAUUUUAUUUUCAAGUUGAUUCCCUGGAUGUUGCGUUGGGAUGUCUUCUGGCUGCUUGCUUAGUUGCUGACAUAUGUACAUUUGUUAUGUACUUACAGUUAAUUUCAUACACCAUAUGUGUUUUGUUUAUUUAAAUUUUUAUGUUUAUGUUUUAAAUUUUGUUUUGUUUUCAGGUUUGCUGCAGAUUUGGUAAGCGUUUUGAGUUGUAUUUUGGAUAAAUUUAAUUUUAUUUUAUUUGCAGGUUUUCAUUUUGUAGGUUUGGUGGCAAAUUGUCGGCAUUCCAGUUAAGUAAUUUUUUUGUUUUUAUAUUUGUUGGCUUUUAAUGAAUAUAGUUAUUUUAUUUUCAAGUUGAUUCACUGGAUGUUGCGUUGGGAUGACUUCUGGCUGCUUACUUAGUUGCUGACAUACAUAUGUAAAUUUAUUAUGUACAUACAGCUAAUUUCGUACACCAA